AUCUACGGGGUAGCGGGAAGAUCGUCUGAAGAACUGCAAGGUAUUCGACAUUAUGAUACGCCGAACUGGAAAGGUCUGGAAAGGCCUGCCGUAGAGAGUGAAAGCCUCGUACAGGUAAACCGUAUCGAAUGUAUGAUCUCUCCCAAGUAGCACGGAACACGAGGAAUUCUGUGUGAAUCUGCGAGGACCAUAUCUCGUAAGGCUAAAUACUCUUACUUACCGAUAGCGCAUAGUACCGUGAGGGAAAGGUGAAA
rnacentral:rRNA from 1 species